GCUGGGCAUGGUGGUGUGCACCUGUAGUCCUAGCUACUUAGGGAGGCUGAGGCAGGAGGAUUGCCUGAGCCCAGGAGUUCGAGGCUGUAGUGCGCCGUGAUUGUGUCUGUGAAUAGCUGUUGUACUCUUGCCUGGGCAACAAAGUGAGACUCUGUCUCUU
rnacentral:SRP_RNA from 1 species